UACAGAGGUGGCAAGCGUUGCUCGGUAUCACUGGGCUUAAAGGGCGCGUAGGCGGUGCGGUACGGUUUCGGUGAAAUCCCCCGGCUCAACUGGGGAACUGCACAGGAGACUGCUUGGCUUGAGUUCGGGAGAGGGAAGCGGAAUUCCGGGUGUAGCGGUGAAAUGCGUAGAUAUCCGGAGGAACACCGGUGGCGAAGGCGGCUUCCUGGACCGACACUGACGCUGAGGCGCGAAAGCCAGGGGAGCAAACGGG
rnacentral:rRNA from 1 species